rnacentral:rRNA from 1 species
UGGGGGAUAUUGCACAAUGGGCGAAAGCCUGAUGCAGCGACGCCGCGUGGGGGAUGAAGGCCUUCGGGUUGUAAACUUCUUUUGCUCUGAACAAGGCAUGCCUUUGGGGUGCGUUGAGUGUCGGGGUUGAUUAGCGCCGGCUAACUACGUGCCAGCAGCCGCGGUAAUACGUAGGGCGCGAGCGUUGUCCGGAAUUAUUGGGCGUAAAGGGCUUGUAGGUGGCUGGUUGCGCCUGUCGUGAAAGCUCAUGGCUUAACUGUGGGUUUGCGGUGGGGACGGGCUGGCUUGAGUGCAGUAGGGGAGGCUGGAAUUCCUCGUGUAGCGGUGGAAUGCGCAGAUAUCAGGAGGAAUACCGGUGGCGAAGGCGGGUCUCUGGGCAGUUACUGACGCUGAGGAGCGAAAGCGUGGGGAGCGAACAGG